GCUCUCGUAGCUCAGUUGGUAGAGCGCGGCACUAGUACUAUCACAUGAUCAUCGGUCACGUGACAUGCCGAGGUCUACGGUUCAAAUCCGUACGGGAGCA
rfam:Pseudogymnoascus sp. 23342-1-I1 unplaced genomic scaffold scaffold_1, whole genome shotgun sequence.